AUUGAACGCUGGCGGCAGGCCUAACACAUGCAAGUCGAACGAGUGGCGGACGGGUGAGUAAUGUCUGGGAAACUGCCUGAUGGAGGGGUAUAACUACUGGAAACGGUAUCUAAUACCGCAUACCCUGCGGUGUGCCCAUAUGGGAUUAGCUAGGAGGUGGGGUAAUGGCUCACCUAGGCGACGAUCCCUAGCUGGUCUGAGAGGAUGACCAGCCACACUGGAACUGAGACACGGUCCAGACUCCUACGGGAGGCAGCAGUGGGGAAUAUUGCACAAUGGGCGCAAGCCUGAUGCAGCCAUGCCGCGUGUGUGAAGAAGGCCUUCGGGUUGUAAAGCACUUUCAGCGGGGAGGCGUUACCCGCAGAAGAAGCACCGGCUAACUCCGUGCCAGCCGCCGCGGUAAUAC
rnacentral:rRNA from 1 species